GGUUUACUUGCUAAAAUCUCAUCUUCUUCUCUUAAUUAGGCAUUUUCAUGCAAUGAACCAUAUGGAAGUCAAUGAAAAAGGUGUUGAUGUGGAGCAUGGAUGCUGACUGAUAAAGCUGGCAGAUGGGGAGAUCAUCGGCUUUGAAGACUGUGAGGUUUCCUCUGAAACUAAAUAAAUAAGAUGGGCAGAACUAGAUGGCAAUGAGGAUGUGCAGCGUGGCUUCUCUGCAUCAUCAGCAAUUGCUCAGGAGAUGUGCCACCGGCAGCCAGUGGUGCAGCUCGGGGGGCUGUGGCUGAGCUGGAAAUGCCCGAAGGAGCACUGAACGGCCCAGAUUCUGUCACCUUUACUUCCAGCAAGGCAUUUGUCCCAUGGUCCUCUCCAUCUCUUGGAAGAAAUAAAGUUUUGCGAAGCAGAUCCUGGCUGGCCAUGACUCGCCUUCCCCAUCUGGCUCUUUUACCGAGGGAGAGGCAGCCCUCAUGGCUCAGGACUACGCUGCGCUUGGUGUCUGUUGCUCAAGCAGGCUGCAAAAUGAAUUUCUCCCCAAAAGCUCACAAUCUAAGAUCAGGAAUGAUUCAUGGACUAAAAGAUGUUUUCCAAGAAAUAAUGUUAUAUCUCAGUAAGGAGGAAAAUGUAGAUGUGAAAAACUUCUCUGCUUUCCUGGGGAGCUGCCAGUUUUGUGGGCUUGCCCAUGUGUUGUCCCGAUCCUCCUGCAUCCCACGGCACCAAACCCACUCCAGGGUGGCCUCGCAGGGGAGAGCAGCCGUGCCUUCACAGCUUCCAAGGGGACCAAAAGCACCUGAGCAUCCCCCCAGCUCUGAUGGGACCUCCUUGCAUCCUGGAAAGCAUUGGCAGGAAAACUCUGAGGUCAUUGCAGGUCAGACUGUGGGUGUUGCAUAAAAAGGAGAUUUGGGCUGUGGACACAUGAGCACGUUGCCCUGAGGAUCCCAUAAAUCAACUGACCUGUGAGAGCCGCUUCUAAUCUGCGGCGAAAACCAGCCCAUGCAAGGUAACUUGAUUUCCUUAAUUAAAGAGAUUCUCAUUUUCUUUCCUUGGAGCUGGCCAAAGUCAGUGGAGCAGCAGUACCUCGGAUAACCCCAUAUUAUGCAGGAGGACACGGGCAGGUCCCGCAGAGGCCCUGGCACGGCUGGCGGUAUGCUCUGCGGCUUCUGCUUGUGCAAAGCCAGGCCUCCCACACUGGUACACUGGAACAGAUGUUUUAAAGUAAGCUCCACGAAAGACACAGGAACGUGACCAUUUCCUCCUUGGUGUUUGUCACCUUAAUUCAAGAGCCUUGAGUGUGCAUGGAGGAUUGUAUCAUGGGCACGUGGGAAGUCUUUGUACUCAGUCCAUAUGUGAAUCUUGCAUUUUUUAGGGUAUAUUCAAUAUAAGUAUGUACUUGCACAAAGACAUAAGUGCCUCAAAAGCAAGCACAUUUGCUGCCAUGCAGUCAUGCAGCGUUUUCUUAGAUCUGUGCUGCAAGCUAUUUAUUGCAUUUUUAAUUUUAAGUUGGUUCAGAAAGGAGACUCGCCUGGGAUUUUUCGCUGCCGUUCGGCCACCCAGUUCCCACUGAAGCUGAGUGAGGGAUUUUGCUGUGAAAAGAUGAUGAUUUUGCAAGAACGCAAAACCUGUGCUGACAUGGGUGGGAGUUGCGCCUCUGGAAUGAUUAAAGACCAAAGCCAAUGAGAUGACUGCAAGGCAUUAGCCCGGGAUCUGGGAAAUCUGUACUCUUUGCUCUGCAACUGUGUCUUCUUAAUAAGGGGCAGCUUAAGGUUACCCAAAACUCAAUCCUGCUGAUCAUCUGCAUCACGAACUUCUAAAUUCCUCUCUCAGAAGCUGCCCGGUUUGACCUUGAAAGCUGCGAUCAGCAUCUAGGUGGGAGGGCAGCUCUCCUCGAGCCUUUUCUCCUCCAUGCCCAGGGCGGUGCGGUGCGAUGGGCCGGGCUCUCCUCCUCACCUGCUCCUCCGGCUGCGCUCCUCAACGCAUUAUUUCUUGGGCAAGUGGAGCCCAAGAGAGCACUCACAAGACGGGCUUUCCCACGUACUGGGAAGGAAUUGGCUCUUUCCUUCUCUACAAAGACACAUGAUCAGACUUCCACGGCACAUCCAGCUUUGCUCGAAGGUUUGUGCUUAGCAGAAUACAAGAGGCUGAGAAAUGGCGCAUUACAUGUAAGGUGGUGCAUUCACGGAGAAUUACAUCUCUUCCAGAGAGAGCCCAAUUGCCUGGAUGCGCUAUGGAAAAGUGAUUUCUUUCUGCAUGAAUGCUCGGAACUGUCUGAAAAUUGUCUGUUAAAGCUGCUUCAACUUCUGCCUCUAACGGAGCUACUCACACUCGCUAAACUGGCAAAUGCUGGCUGUAGUGUCUCAGUCUCUUGAUUAUGUCCCAUGCAUUUUCUUGGAUAUAGAAAGAAAAAGCAAAUCAGCAACGAGCAGCACAAUUAGAGCAGGAAGAACCGCAGUGCAAUAAUUGGGCUGGACCCCCAGCUGGCCCCUUUGCAGCAGUGCAUCCUGCGGUGCUGGGGCUCCAGGGCCUGGUCCCCGGCUCCUUCCUCUGGGAUGCACAGAUGAGAGCUGGCAGUGCAGCCAACACGGCUCAGGUGCAGGGUGCUGUGAGAGUUUUCCUUUUUGUCCUUUUCAUUUCUUUCAUCAGAAGAAUAUAAGGCUUGAUACUUUAACACUUGGCCUAAUAUUAACCAGGGAAACGUAUCAGCUGCACUUCAUAGUAUUAAAGAUAUAAGCAAUCUCUAACGGUCUGUUAUUAAUGUGGGUAGAUUGAUUGAAAACGUUUUGCUCUUAAGAAAUUCACAGUUCAUUUCCAGUCAUUAAAAUAAUUAGGUGCUGUGCUCUGAGUGCUCGGCUAAGGGCACAGCUCGGGCCCUGCUGCCCUCGGUGCUGUGCUCCCAGUGCUGUGCUCCCGGUGCCCUCGGCCCCUGCCUGCUCCGACCCCGCUGCUGCAGCAAGGAACCAGCCCAGGGGACUGAUGAAACCCACAGGGAUGCAGCACUUAAGAAGGAGUUUGAUGCUUAAAUGGCUCUGAGAAGCUGGGCCCCCGGUCCUGCCAAAAAGCAUAUGAGUAGCCUGCCCCCACCGUCCCCUUUGUUUUAAUGAGACGGCUUUUAUAAUAAAGAUAUUUCCAUAAAUAAGUGAUUAGAGGAUUGAGCCAAAACCAAUCAAUAAGGAUUAGAUGUAACUCAUGGGAUCAAGAGAAGCCUUUAGUUUUAUUGGA